rnacentral:tRNA from 1 species
GCUGGAUUAGCUCAGAGGCAGAGCGGCGCUCUCGUACAGCGCAGGUCGAGAUUUCGAAAUUCUCAUCCAGCUCCA